UCCUUUUAUUAGAAACAGCUUGGAACAGCCACUAAUCCUAAGAGGUGGUGGUGGUAAUGGCUCAUGGAGCCAUCUCCUCUGCAGUAGUAUUGGCAUCAGAAGCCUGAGAGACCUCUGUUUUACUUUCUGUUUUGGUGGUGCUAAGGACUGAAGCCAGGGUCUCGGACAUGCUAAGUUUUAAGGAAUUCUAGUGUAUAGAUGGCAAACAAAUUUAAAAUAAGCAGGGAAACUGAUACAAGAACUGGAAUGCUGAGCAAAUGUGCGAGAGGAGGAAGUGACAGCAAUGGGAAUGGUCACCUACACAGCACCUGGAACCAUCUGGCCAGGGGUAUCUGGGCAUGCGCGUGGGGGAGAAUUCGACCUUCCAGCUGAGAUGAACUGCGUUAAGUGGAGAGAAGGAACAUGAGCAGCAGCAGCAGCAGCAGCAGCAGCAGCAACAACAGCAGCAG
rnacentral:lncRNA from 1 species